CGCGAGCGUUCUCUCACCCUCCACCACCCUCUGAGGCAAGUCGCGGCGGCGGAGGCGGAGGGCAGCGCGCCUAUACCUUCAAGAAAUCGGGAAAUACCAGUCUGAGCAGAAGCGACAUCAAUGUGUACUGAAACAGCUAGAGGGAAAGACGCUGAACUUCCACAACAGGUCUAUAGUGGACGCAAUCUCACUGGCUCUCCAAUCUGCUUUGGAGCACCUAGACAACAGCAAAACAUACAUCAGGCUGCUGUUUAGCGAUUACAGCUCGGCAUUCAACACCAUCAUUCCCUUCCUAUCCACCGAGCUUCAAAACCUGGGCCUCUGUACCUCCCUCUGCACCUCCCUUUGCAACUGGACCCUCGACAGUCAGUGCGGAUUGGAAAUAGUAUUUCCUCCUCACUGACAAUCAACAUAGGUGCACCUCAAGGAUGUGUGCUUAGCCCACUGCUCUACUCUCUCUACACAAAUGACUGUGUGGCUAGGCACAGCUCAAACGCCAUCUAUAAAUUCACAGAUGACACCACUGUUGUUGGCAGAAUCUCAGGAGGCGUACAGGAAUGAGAUAUAUUGGCUGGUUGAGUGGUGUUGCAACAACAGCCUCACACUCAACGUCAGCAAGACCAAGGAAUUGAUUGUGGACUUCAGGAAGGGGAAGUCGGGAGAACACACACCAGUCCUUAUUGAGGGGUCAGCAGUGGAAAGGGUGAGCAGCUUCAAGUUCCUGGGCAUCAACAUCUCAGAGGAUCUAUCCUGGGACCAACACAUUGAUGCAAUCAUGAAGAAGGCGUGCCCGUGGCUCUACUUCGUUAGGAGUUUGAGGAGAUUUGGUAUAUCACCAAAGACUCUUGCAAAUUUCUAUAGAUGUACAGUGGAGAGCAUUCUGACUGGUUGCAUCACAGCCUGGUAUGGAGGCUCCAAUGCGUAGGAUCGCAAGAGGCUGCAGGGGGUUGUAGACUCAGCCAGCUCCAUCACAAGCACAGCACUCCCCCCUCCAUCGAGGACAUUUUCAAGAGGGGCACCUCAAGAUGGCGGUAUCCAUCACUAAGGACCCUCACCAUCCGGGACAUGCCCUCUUCACAUUACUACCACCGGGGAGGAGGUACAGGAUCCUGAAGACACACACGCAAACAUUUAGGAACAGCUUCUUCCCUUCUGCCAUCCGACUUCUGAAUGGCCCACGAACACUACCUCAUUAUUCCUUUCUCUUUGCACUACAUAGCAACUCACCGUCCGAGCAAGUGAACUGGCUCGGUGGUUGGGACGCACGUCGUCGGAGCUGCGAGGCCCAAGAUGGCGUUGGGCCUUCGUCUUCCCCGAGCGACAGGGAGAACCUGCGCACGGGAAAGGUUUGAUGACGUAGCAUGUAUGUCAUUGCCGUUUUAA